GGAUAACUCUGUAUCAGCCAAGAAUUGGAAGAAGAUAAUGAGAAGAGUUAAUAAGCAGGAGAGAGAAUGACUUUUUAAACUGGGCACCACUCAGAAAGGCCUGGCCAUUGCUGGAGGAGCUCAGUCAUGGCCUGUGUGAGGACAUGUGUAGAGGCAGCAGUCACCCUCCUGCUCUCUGGAAGUCACUGCACGGAAAGCACUUGGAGACCCUCAUGAUCAGAAAAAUGGCAAGAGAAGUCAAAACUAACAUCCAAGAAAUGCUAAUAAAGCAGAAGAAACCAAAGCAAACAGAAGCUAGAGGGCACAGAUCUCAUGAUUGCUACCCUGAAAAACCUGCUGUGUGCCAGAUCCACAGGUGUGUGAGGC